rnacentral:rRNA from 1 species
UACGUAGGGUCCGAGCGUUGUCCGGAAUUACUGGGCGUAAAGAGCUCGUAGGUGGUUUGUCGCGUUGUUCGUGAAAACUCACAGCUUAACUGUGGGCGUGCGGGCGAUACGGGCAGACUUGAGUACUGCAGGGGAGACUGGAAUUCCUGGUGUAGCGGUGGAAUGCGCAGAUAUCAGGAGGAACACCAAUGGCGAAGGCAGAUCUCUGGGCCGUAACUGACGCUGAGGAGCGAAAGCAUGGGGAGCGAACAGG